rnacentral:lncRNA from 1 species
GAACUAUUUUAGGGAGAACUACUUGACCCUGCAGUGAAGGGAACACUUAAUGUUCUACAAUCAUGCGCGAAAUUUCGUAGCAUCACGAGAGUGGUUUUAACAUCUUCACUUGCUUCAGUAAUGAUGACUGGAGCCCCUCUGACCUCUGAUGUGGUUUUGGAUGAAACAUGGUAUUCGGAUCCACUUUUUUGUGAGAAGGACAAGGCAUGUAUAAAUGUUCCCGUGUUAUCUUUCUUUGAGUUUUGCAUUUUACUUCUCGUUAAUUUAUUAUAUUUCAAUGUCAGUAGGGAAAAUAAUCUGAUCUUGUUAGGUUAGCAUGAACUGCAAGGUCAUAUGAACUUCUUUGUUUCUUUGUUCAGCAAUGGUAUUUGCUCUCAAAAACUUUAGCCGAGGAGACUGCCUGGAAAUUUGCUAAAGGAAAUGGGAUUGACUUGGUGUCGUUGAAUCCAGGGUUAACCAUUGGUCCGCUCUUACAACCAACACUUAAUUUCUCCGUCGAGCUGCUUCGGAACUUCAUGAGUGGUAUUUUCAGUUACUCAAUUACUUCUUGGGUUAAUAGCUAGUAAAACAUCAUCAACCAGUCCCUUCGUGUUUAAACAGUUGUCCUUGACUUGUGAUGCAAGCAAUUGAUUGUGUUUUGUUUCUCCUUCUUGCUCAGGUACCCCAACAACUUUCAGUAAUCCAUUCGUUGACGUUAGAGAUGUUGCCUCUGCUCAUAUUCAGGCUUUCGAAAUUCCUUCAGCUAGUGGGAGAUAUUGUUUAGUUGGUCAAGUUGCUGACGACCUUGAUACUCUAAAGAUUUUACGGCAACUUUACCCGACUUUGACCCUUAAUGAAGUUGUCAAUCCCUCCGACUCAAAGUAUAAAGUGUCCAAGGAGAAAGCAGAAGGUUUGGGAAUCACUUUCCUUCCUCUGGAAACAAGUCUGAGGGACACUAUUGAAAGCCUCAAGGAGAAGGGCUUCCUCAAGAUUUAAACGCCUCAGUCUUCCUGCCGCAUGUUAAUCAUGUGUAAAAAUCACACUAAAUAAAAGGUUCAACCUUUAUAUAAGGAUUGAACACAUAUGCAACCUCUAGUGAUGCUUUCAAGUAUGAACAAUAAAAUGUAAUGUAAUCCUUGGUCUUGGUGGCACUUUAAACUCAAUAAUUUCAUUAUGAAUAGUAUGUUAACCCAUUGAAUUGGUGUCUUGAAAAGAUGUCAACUCUGACUCUCCCACUCCAGUUGUCACUUUUCUUUUUGUUAAUUAAUAGGUCUCCAAAUAUUUUGCUCAUGUUUAAUCUUUUUUGCUUAUAACAAAGGCACUUUGACAAGAACUCAAACCUCAUUUGCUCGAACUAUUUGGUGAACAUUGCCAACGUAAUAUUUGUAGAAAUUUCUCCCUCUUGUUCUUUGGACUGCACCUUAAGUGUUUGAUGAAAGACCAAUUCAAAAUUUUCUUCUUUUUUCUCCCUUUGAAAUUUUCAUGGACUUGUUUUCCAAUAUUUAAAUAAAGACAUAAAAUUUAGUCAAACAUUCAUAGCACACAAUGAAUUGCCAUAAAAUAAUUAUUCAGAGCUGAAGAAGACUGAAGCUGCCUUAUUUGACCUUAACGUCCAGAUGACUUUUCACCACAAAAAACAAAAACUGAACCAAACCAAAGCUUAUUAACUCGAUUUUGAGAGAGAGAGAGAGAGAGAGAGAGAGAGAGAGAGAGAGAUAGGGAUGAGUACUAGAGAAACAAAGACUCUGUGUGUGACAGGAGCAUCUGGUUACAUAGCAUCAUGGCUCGUGAUGACACGCCUCGAUCUCGAUAUUCUCCGAACACCAAAAUAGACAUGUGCUGGCUGACACUCGAGGGUGAUGAAAACCAUUUAUUGAAUGCAAAUGCUGAAAACAAGAAAUAAAUAGGAAUUAUAAAUUUAAAUAUAAUUAAAAUGCAAAUGAGGAACGUAUUCAGAGCAUACAACUAACUAGAAUACUAAAAAGAAAUAAUAUAAAAUUGAAUGAAUAAGAGGAUGGGUCCUACACCUAGAGGACUCGAAGAUGCCGAUGCGGAAAUGCUUGGACGCUGAGAUUGUAUGCCUCGAUUCUAAGUCUUGAAGGGGGCGCAAAACAAACAUGAGUAGACCAAAUUGAUAUAGAUAUAAUAAAAUAGUUAUCAACAUACUAACCCUCAAAGUUUAGUGAAAACUCAUAUAGCAUGAUAAAUAAAAUAGGUUUUCCGAAACCUAGCAUGCCGUGCAAUGUCUAAAAACAUAUCUCGUAUAUAUAGUAAUCGCUAGUGAAUGUCCAAUCUCACUCCAAACCCCGUGCCAGCUUCCCGUCCCUGUGCCAAUUGCUAAAGGAAAAUCACCUUCAGACCCCGUGCUAGCUUCCUGUGUCUCUUACCCCGUAGCUAGAGAUUAUUUCUUCAGGCUCUAUGCCAACACUGUAACCUCGCCCGUGAAGGAAUCUAUCCCUCGCCCCGUAGCAGAAUAGAGACCACUAGUUAAGUACAAAACCAUUGAACAUACAUAUAUUUGAAAAGCAACUUCGUAGUAUAAGGUCAUCCAUCAUCUAUACUAUAAAGAGGUGUUCGAAACAUGUUCUAAAUAUUAUAUCGUCAUCCAUUAGAUAUUCUAUAAAGAAUACGGGUUAUAAGAAAAAUAGUAAUAAUUCAAACUAGCCUCAAUAAGCAUGUUAUCUUAUAAAACAUAAUCAUUAAAUCAUGGUUUUCAAGUAUGCAUUUCUACUAUUAAAACAUGCAUUUUUAGAAGGGGUCCACUCACAAAUACUUUGCCGUCAAAGAGCCAUGCAAACUAGCGAAGAUGAAAUUGCCACAAUAUAUGCACCUAAGCACAUAAAAGGUCCAUUUAAUAAAACUAUAUUAAAACAAUUGAAUUUGGGAAAACGGACGUCAAAAACGGAUUCAAGAUGUCGAAUUAUCCUAAAAAAGGGUCCGGGGUAACUUUCUAAAAAGUCAACAGGGGAAUAUUCCAGGAAUAUUCUUGGAAGGUUCCAAAUGGAUCUGUGCUGGUAGGUUUGGGCUGAAAGCCUUAUGGGCACAAAGGCCUGGUUUCAAAGGGUUGGAUCCCUUUAGGGCUUAGUGUUUGGACCUUAAAGGGUAUUGGGUUAGAUUUAGGUGGGUUGGACUUAAAGGGUUUGGGUUUAGUUUCAAACAAAUAAAAUAAAUAAAUAAAUAAAAGGGGUUCGGGCUUUAGAGGUCACGGGCCUAAGGCUCGAGUUUUAAAUGGCCCAAAGGCCUAAGUGACAAAGGGUUAAGGGUUUAGGCUAAAAAGGUUGGGCCUAAAUUCAGAUUUAGGUUUGGGUUUAAAAAGGUUUUGGGUUUGAAAGGUUAUGGGGUUAGGCUGCCCAAAAGGGCUGGGUUCCAAGGGUUUUUUGAUGGGUUGGGUUGGAAGGCAGCUAGGCUUGGGUCUGGCCUGCUGGGUUGGGUUUAGAGUUUUAGGGUUAAUGGGUUUAGGCUUUAGGCUAAUGGCUUUGGGUUUCAUUUGCUUGGGCUUAGGGAAUUGGGUUUAGGUUGGGCUCAGCUUUGGUUUGGGCUGCGCUACCUUAGGCCAGUUCUUUGGCUCGUUUGUUAUGUGGGUCACCGGAACCAAUUAUAGCAGAAGGCCGGAUUUCGGCCGGGAGAUUGAACAAACUUUGAACGUUCAUAACUUUGUCAAUACCCAACGAAAUCAAGUGAUUCAAAAAUAAAAAUCAUAGUUCUCGAUGAGACAAAGAGAAUGGUACCUCGUAUGACGUCUAAUUCGCCGUGGUUUGGCCAGAAAAUGCCUUGAAAUCCGCGGAGGUCGCCGAAAACUAGGUAAGAUUCAAAUACAUAUAACUUCUUCAAUACUUAACGAAAUUGGGUGAAACAAAACAGAACACUUACUCUCACUAGAUGGAGCAAAAGAAAGGUUCAUUUGUUCAAAGAAGAUUUACUACAAGAAGGAUCUUUCGAUGCUGCAGUUGAUGGAUGUGUUGGUGUUUUUCAUAUAGCAUCUCCUGCUCAAUUUUCAGUCACUGACCCACAAGUUUGUCCUUUCACUUCAUGCUUCAAAUAUUCCAACAUGUGUUGUUAGAAAAUCGAUAUACUUUCAACAAUUAUAUAGAAACCAGCCUGAUAUUUUUCUUCUUCCAUAUUUCAGGCUGAAUUAAUCGAGCCUGCAGUUAAAGGAACACUUAAUGUUCUAAAAUCAUGCGUGAAAUUCCCCGCUGUUAAGAGAGUGGUUAUAACAUCUUCUAUGGCUGCAGUAAUGAUGACUGGAAAACCUCUGACCUCUGAUGUGGUUCUGGACGAAACAUACUAUUUGGAUCCACUUUUUUUUGUGAGAAGAUCAAAGUAUGUUUGUGUACGUUCCCGUUAUAUUUAUAAUAUUGAAUAUAAAGGUAAGCAUAACACAAGACAAUGCAGUACAUGAUGAUGACUACAAACCCAUACGAACUCCCUUCUUCAUUUGUUCAGCAAUGGUAUCGUCUCUAAAAAACUUUAGCUGAGAAGGCUGCCUGGAAAUUUGCUGAAGGAAAUGCGAUUGACUUGGUUACAAUACAUCUAGGGUUUGCAAUUGGUCCACUAUUAUGGCCAACUCUUAAUCUCUCCAUCAAGUUUCUUCAGAAUCUCAUGAGUGGUACAAUUCAUCCCCUUUGUGUUUAAUAAUAUUCUUUGUGAUGCCAGCUAUAAAUUGUGUUUUGUUUCUCUUUCAUGAUCAGGGACCGAAACACCGUUUAUAAACUACCCAUUCGUAGACGUUAGAGAUAUUUCCUCUGCUUAUAUUCAAGCGUUUGAAGUUCCUUCAGCUAAAGGUAGAUAUUGUUUAGUUGCCCAAGUUGCUGACGGACCUGAUACUCACAAGAUUUUGCAACAACUUUACCCCACAUUGUGCCUUCGGAGUUCGGCAAUCUUUGUGACUCGAAGUUUCAAGUGUCCAUAGAGAAAGCAAGAGGUUUGGGAAUCACUUUCCUCUGGAAACGAGUCUCAGAGACACAGUUGAAAGUCUCAAGGAGAAGAGCUUCCUCAACAUUUGAAUUCUACUGCUUGCAGCAAUUUGUUACAAUAGAAUUUUACGCUUAAUUUUCAUGUAUUGCAUAAUUGGGAAUAUAAUACAUACAAUCCUUGUUCUCCAAGGUAAACCAAAAAAGGACAUCAGAAAUAUCCUUCCUAAUAAAGGUGUCACGCCCCGAUCCCGACAUACGUCCAGAAUCGACACAUGACGUCACCAAAUACCCGUAUCUCUAACAUACUUUGCCUCCGGAAUAUGGCAAAUCACAACUCGAGAAUCGAAUCGCAUAGUAAUUUUUCGUAUACUUUAUGGCUGCAUCUAACCUCCUCGUUAGACUGCCUACGUACCCUCAUUAGGGAUCAAACCAUUCGUUGUUCGUCAUUUCACUUCAAUCGAACAUUCAACACAUAGACCACUAUGUCUCAACAUAAUACCACAAUUCAAUCAUGUAGCACCUCAAGGAACAUUUAACAAAUCACAAUAAUAAUUUUUAGUCAUCUCGUCAUUCAUCCACCUAUAAGCGUUCCAACACCAUCCAAUUAUCACAUCAAUAAAUAAAACUUGACAAGCAUAAAAUUCCUAGACUCAAGGUAACAUAACAAACCCACAUGAAAAAAAUCAAGAUUUCCCUUCCAUCCUUCAUAUAAACCAUUCUCUAGCCACAUUAAUUAACUAAUAUGGUCAAAAUAAUAACAAUCAUCCCCAUAUCUUCUAAAUUCAUAAACUAUGAAAUCAUAAUUGAAUCGUAGAAAAUCUCGAAGGAAUCCCACAGACGUACAACCGCUUUUAUAAUUCAAUUCACAAUAUUCUCAAAACCAUUAUUCACAAUAUACUAAAACGAAGGCUAGAGUGACACAAUCAAGCCAAACCUACUUCUCCGAAUAAUGGGAUUUCAGACUACUCAACGAUAUCCAACCCAGGAUACGAUUCCGGACCAUCACUCAAUGGAAUUGUGGAGUAUAAAGGAUUCCGGACCAUCACUCAACAUAAUCGCGGAGUAGAAGGGAUUCCGGACCAUCCCUCAAUGGAAUUCGAGUGGAUACGAUUCUGGACCAUCACUCAACGGAAUCGCGGAAGGCCAACACCAUAAUGUACGACGACUCAAAGAAAUGAGACAAGCACAUGCUACUUAAUUUAUAAAAGCUCAACAAAGGGAAAUUAGGCACAAUUACUAAAUUUAGAACUAAUCAACGAAGUGGGAAAUGAAACAAUAUCGAAGCCACAAAUCCCCAUCACAAUGGUUAAUGGUCCACUCCUAGCCUCACAUUUCAUCACAACAUACCAAUCAUACAAAUCAACCCAUAUUUCAAUUAUACACGUCAAAUCUCACUUCUUGAACAUAAAUUGAUGGCUAAGUAUUAAAAAUAACAAUUCAAUAAAAAAACAUAUUUAUAAAACCAAGACAUAUCCUCACAAGAUAAUAAUUAUGAAAACAUGGGUAAUCACCAAUAUAACAUAUAUUAAAGUCACUCACAUUUCUCCACAUCACACUAAUCCCUAUGAAUUAACGUAGUCUCCUACACCAUCAACUUCUCAUGGCCACCAACUAAUAUAUCACACAAGCAUAUAAGUUCUACAGAAUAUUUCAAAUAGGAUUAUAAGAUCACAUAGCCAUAAAUUUAUCAUACUUAUCAUUCACAUUACUAGAAAUAAUUAAACAUCCAUAUAUCACCAUUAUCAUCAAUACACAAGCCAAAUCAUGUUUAAUAAACAUAAGUCUAUGGCUAAAUAUAUGAAAAUCACAUUUCAAUAGAAAUCAUAUUUAUAAGUCCAAUGCACAGUUACAAAUGACAUUAACAUAAGAAAUUAAGGUAAUAACCAUAUCACAAUAUUCAAGUCACUCUCCAACCAAUAUAGGUCCACUAGACUUCACUUAAGUCUCCCGUAUUACUAAUUUUAGUAUUUGGAACGUUUCGAGACAUAUUGACCAAAAGUCAACUCUCGGUCAAAGGUAGGGUCCACAAUUCUACACAAUUCAAUUCGGAAGAUCCACACAUUGGAUUUUGGAUCCGUAACCUUCUAAGGUCCACAUUAUGUUUCUUAAACAACCUGCCAAAAUUUCAUCAUGAUUUGACGGUCGAAUCUUCGCUAAUUACAAAUUCAAGUGGUUGCCAACGCUUGAUUUUACAAACUUAGAAAUCCAAUUCAGGAAGAUCCAUACGUCGGAUUCCUAAUCUGUCAAUUCAAGCUAUCCUCAAAUAUUACAUUCUAUAACGCAUUAAAGUUUGGUGACGAUCCAACGGUUAGAUCGUUGAUUCGUAUAAAGGUCAAGUGAUGUAUCGUAAUGAAACUAAGUUCAAACAAUCAAACCACAUCAUACAGAUAUCAAUUAUGAAAUCAGGGCAUCUAAUUGAACUUAAAAGAACAUUGUCGGCCCACUAGUUAGGCCGCCGCCGCGGGUGGUGGUCGGCCGCCCCGACUUGCCGGAAAAAUUCAACUAUUUUUAAAAAUUACCAAAAUUUACAGAAAUGAAGAUCUUCAUGAGUAGAGCAAGUUUUAUACCUGUGGCCAAGUCCAAUUUGGUGGGUAAAAGCCCCAAUUUUGUCCAUACCCGCAGGAACCCUAGAAAUUUGGGUGACUUUGAUUCGGCUUCUCCAGUACUCCACCGCCCCUAUAGUUGUUUGGGCUUUAUUCCAGACCUCAAGAAGAGGCUAUAAAUGGUGGUAAUCGAAGAAAUUUGUUUCAAAUUUGGGGAAUCGUCCUCUAUGAACCCGCACACCCAUCGAUGUGAUUUUCCCAAUUUCAAGGUUAUUUUGCAUGGAAUUUAGGAUAGAAUAGGUAGAGGGGAAAAUGAGAAAUGAUUUCAAAGUGAUGAGAAACUUCAACUCGCUGGAAAUUUUCCGGGAGACCACCCAAUUCCAAUGGCUUUGGCCGUUGGUUUUGCACGGGUUCAGUGACCCGUUUCUCUCCCCCCUCAUUUUCUUGAUUCAUUUCCCCCAUUUCCUCUUUUCUGCCACACGGCAGUUUCAAAUUUUCUUCUUCUUUUUUUUUUUGAAGAAACUUCUAAAACAUCCGUAACGUUCCUUUCUUUUUCCGAUUCACAUAUGGCUUUCGCUUAAGCGCUUGUGAGGUCGAGCCCAAUUUAAAAACAUUAAGAGUGACCCUCGAAGGUCUACGAAUUUAAUAAUUAUUUUAAAAAAUUAAAACUUUGUAAUUAGGUAAUUAAAAUCUAGAAUUAAUUUAAAUUCAUGAAAAUACUAUAAAUCCCGCCCAAACGAAAUACGUAGAUUACAAUAGUGAAAUUUAGGAACGGGAUUUCACAAAAGGACUCUAAUAUUUACAAAAUAUUUACAUUCCUAUUCUAAAACCAACUCAUGCAACACUCCCCCUAAAGCUGAAGCUUAGAUGUCGCACAUGCCCAAUUUGACAGGUGAGUUACCAAAAACUCUACUACACACGGCAUGAGUGAGGAUAUUGGCAAGCUGCUCUUCUGAGUUCACAAAUGGUACUGACACAAUCUUAUUCUCAAGCUUUUCCUUAAUGAAAUGUCAAUUAACCUCCACAUGCUUUGUUCUGUCAUGUUGUACCUGGUUCUCUGCAAUUUCUUGUGCCGACUUAUUGUCACAAUACAACUUUAUAGCCUCAUUUGGUUUGAAACCAAGACCCCAAAGCAACUUACGUAACCAAAGAACUUCACACACUUCAUGUGCUAUACCUUUGAAUUCAGCCUCCGCUGAAGACCUAGACACCACAUUCUAUUUCUUACUUCUCCAAGUAAACUAAUUUCCACCAACGAACGUAAAAUAUCCAGAAGUAGAACGCCUAUCAGUCACAUCACCAGCCCAAUCAUCAUCAGUGAACCCCUCAAUUUUUAGAUGACCAGAAUUUCUAUACAAGAUUCCUUUCCCUGGGGCCGACUUUAAAUACACCAAGAUACGCAUAACAGCAGCCAUAUGAUCCACACUUGGUGAGUGCAUAAAUUGACUCACCACACUCACUGCAUAGGCUAUAUCUGGACGGGUAUGAUCUAAAUAAAUUAGUCUUCUUACCAGCCUCUGAUAUCUGCCUUUAUCCACUGGUUCUUGAUCUGGAUAAAUCCUUAAGUGAUGUUUCUCCACAAUAGGCGUAUCCACAGGUUUACACCCAAGCAUACCUGUUUCCUUUAAUAAAUCAAGAACAUAGUUCCUUUGAGACAUGAAAAUACCUUUGGACGAACGAGCAACCUCAACUCCCAGAAAAUACUUUAAGUCAACCCAAACUCUUCAUCUCGAACUCGGCCGCAAGGUUAUUCUCCUGUUUGACAAUCUCAUCUGAAUCAUCCCCUGUUAUUAUCAUAACAUCCACAUAAAUAAUUAAGGUUGUUAGUUUACCAAUCCUCCAUUUCACAAAUAGAGUAUGAUCAGAAUGACUCUGAUAAUACCCAUUCUUUCUCAUGGUCUGAGUGAAUCUUCCAAACCAUGCACAAGGUGACUGCUUUAGCCUAUAAAGAGACUUCCGCAAUCGGCACACUCCUUUAUUUCCUCCAUUAUCAUAUCCGGGAGGAAAAUCCAUGUACACUUCCUCCUCUAAAUGUCCAUGAAGAAACGCAUUUUUACAUCAAACUGUUUCAAUGGCCAAUUCAAAUUCGUAGCCAAUGAGAUAAGAACUCGUACCGUGUUCAUCUUAGCUAAUGGAGAAAAAGUUUCCUGGUAAUCAACACUAUACAUUUGAGUAUAUCCUUUUGCUACCAAUCACGCCUUAUAUCUGUCGAGUGAACCGUCAGCUUUGUAUUAAUUGUAAAAACCCAUUGGCACCCAACUGGCUUCUUUUGGCACUUGAAUUGACUCCACAUUGUUCACCCAAGCUUGAUGUUCAGGUGAAAGGUUUUCACACGACACAUAAUUUGCUAUGAGAUACUUUCCUUUUCUUUCUGGAGAGAACUUGUCAGGAGGUACACCAUGAUUUUGCCUUGGUGGCAGUUUAUAUGUACUUAUAACAUCAUUAGUUACAUGAGUAUCACUAUCACUUACCUCAAGGAUAUUAAGAGAAGACGUAUUGGAUGAUGGCACUAUCGAGCUAGAGAGAAGAGGGAAGCUUCGGUACAAAUCUCAUGGCUGCUAGCUUCGGUAGAUGUUUGUGGUGAGGCUGGCUUGGCCUGGGUAGCAGGUGGCUGAACAUCACCUACAACACAGGGGUUCUCGGUACAAGUUUCCUCAGCUGCAAUCAGUGGCUGCCCAUCUAUAUCACCUUCGGCAGGAAGCUGCUGAGACCCUGCUUCCUCCCUUGGUACCGUAUUGUCAUCUCCUGCUUCCUCCCUUGGCAUGGUAUUGUCAUCUCCCCCUGAAGGAUGCACGUCUUGGACAUCUAACCACCCAAACACACCAUCAAGAUCACAAAUAACACUCUCCCCAUUGGGAUCAGAAUGUGGGAAUACAAGAGUAUAAAAAUACUCAGAUUCAGAGAAAGUCACAUUCAUGGUGACGUACAUGUGGCGGGUUUCAGGGUGAUAGCAUUUAUAACCUUUCUGUUUGGAUGCAAAGCCAAGAAAAAUACACUGAAGAGCACAAGGAUCCAAUUUACUACGAUGAAUCUUGUGGAUAUGAACGUAAGCAAUGCAACCAAACACUUGAGGAGUAAGAGUGUUGGUAGAGACAACCGGAACAUGUUAUGUUAGAACUUGGAGUGGAGUACGAAAUCCUACAACCUGAGAUGGCAUGCAAUUAAUGACAUACACAACAUACGUAACGGCGUCCGGCCAAAAACUCUUAGGUACGGAUGCGCCAAUAAGCAAUGCACGAGCAGUUUCCAAAAUAUGACGGUUCUUCCUUUCGGCCACCCCAUUUUGUUGCGGGGUAUAAGGACAAGUGGUCUCAUGGAGAAUUCCUUGAUCUCGAAAAAAAGAAGAAAGCUCAGAGUUAACAUAUUCACCCCCGUUAUCAGAACGAAGAACUUGAAUAACGGAGGAAUAUUGUGUAGCCACUAGCUGAGAGAAAUACCGAAUAAUCAUACUAACAUCACUUUUAUGUUUCAACAGAUAAACCCAUGUCAUACGAGUGCAAUCAUUAACAAAUGUAAUAAACCAUUUAAUUGCCGAAGUAGUACUAAUGGGGGAAGGCCUUCACACAUCAGAGUGUACUAGCGCAAAUGAAGAAGAUGUUCUAUUCAUACUAAGAGGGAAUAAAGCAUGAUGACUUUUGGCUAGAAUACAUACUUCACAUUUCAAUUUUGAGUCUUCAAUACCACUGAACAUAUUAGGUAAUAUAUGUUUCAAAUAAUCAAACAAUGCAUGCCCCAAACAAUGAUGCAAUAACAAUACAUUCUAUAGAUUACUAUUACGUGAUACACGAACCAAAUUAGCUCUUCCAGGAACCACGUCAUCCACAUAAUAUAGCUCAUCUCUCUUAGUGUCACGCCCAAUGAUCUCCUUUGUCUGAAUAUCCUGAAGCAAGCAAAAUGAAGGAUACAUUAAUACAAUACAAUCCAAUUGUUCAGUGACUUGAGGCACAUACAAUAAGUGAUGGGACAAUGAUGGAACCAAUAAACAAUUAUGUAAGGGGAGAGAGGGUGUAAGAGACACUGUUCCCGCUCCAACAAUAGCAGCAGUAGAACCAUUGGCAAUUGCCACACACUUUCUAUAAGGACGUGUCAUAGAUUGAAAUAAGGUUUUAUCAUACGUCAUAUGAUCCAUUGCAUUAGCAUCCAAAAUCCAACCUGCAUUUGUCAUUGUAUUAACUCACGAGACACAACUGUAAUUAGACAGCAAACAACACCAAUUUUUUUUUCUUUUUUGUUUUUUUUCAACAACAGCGGCAAAUCACGACUCGGCACAACCAGCAACUGCUAAAGUACAACAAUUACUACGAGAACACACACUGAUACACGGGCAGAAUUUGCGAUAGUACUUGCAGACACACACACGCAGCAGGAUCAUAACCGUGCAGGUAAUUACGGUCAGAGUUAGAAUCGCACAAGACUCAAGCACAACCAGGCACUGGUACAACACGCACGACACAUUUUGUACUUUGAAGCAGCAGUCCACACGGCACAACAAGAUCACACACGGUGCAGCCUGACUUAUUGUUGCAAGAAUUGUAGGAAUAUGUCAAGACCACGCACAGCAAAAAACAGCACACCCACGGGGAUACUUCAGCACAUCAAUACUCCUACUCACACACGGCAAUAUCACACACACACAGUCUGACAUUCUGCAAGGGAAUUGCAGAAAAAACAGUCGGUCGUGCACAACAGCGAAAGAAAAAUAUUCUUACGGCAACCUAGGCUUGGAUGCCAAAUAGAAUUUUACAGCUUAAUUUUCAUGUAUUGCAUAAUUGAGAAUAUAAUACAUACAAUCCUUGUUCUCCAAGAUAAACAAAAAAAGGACAUCAGAAAUAUCCUUCCUAAUAAAUGACUCUAAUAUUUACACAAUAUUUAUAUUCCUAUUCUAAAACCAACUCACGCAACAGUUACAUGAGUACUCGAUCAACUAAUUGGGAAGUGAAGUUGGUUUAUGCUGAAGUAUCCCAAUAGAUGCUGAGCAUUAUAUUUUUCCCGUAAAAUACUUUAAAUGUAUUCCGUAGGCAAAUGCUCAGAAGUUGCUUUUAGAUCUUUAAUUAAUUUAUUGUCACGCUCCGAUCCCGACAUAUGUCCGGGAUCGACACGUGACGUUACAAAAUACCCGUAACACUCACAUACCCCGCCUCUGGGAUAUGGACAAUGCACAACUCAAGAUUCGAAUUUCAUGAUAAUUUUUCUUAUACUUUAUGGCUGCAUCUAACCUUCUCGUUAGACUGCCUACGUACCCUCAAAAAGGAUCAAGCCAUUCGUAGUUCACCAAUCGUCAACUCUAAUCUUUUCGUAAAAUACUUCUAACAGAAAAUCAUAAUGCACCAUAUUACACAUCAAUCUUACGUCAAACAACAAUUAUCAUCUUCCCUACACGUAUGUAACCCGUUCUCACACAUAUACUUUCCAAUUCAUCCAUCAUAUGAAUCACUCUGUUUCACAGAAUACCGCAAAUCAUAGUAUGUAACAUAUCAAGAACCAACGAAAAUUUAACCAAGGAACUCUAACAACUCCGAAGGAGUCACCCAGACAUCCAACGGUUCGUCUGAAACAAAUCACAGCAGCUCAUAAUCAUAAUCUCAUACAACACCAUGAAAAGUUGGGUUAGAGUUACACAGUUCGGCCGAAGCCUACAUCUCUGAAGCUGAAAACAAAUCCGAGGGACCAAGACACCAAAGGGAUUUCGGACCAUCACUCAACAAAAUCCACACUAGGCUACGAUUCCGGACCAUCACUCAACGGAAUCGCGGAGACAGAAUCGCGGAGUAGAAGGGAUUCCGGACCAUCACUCAACGGAAUCCAAACUGGAAUACAAUUCCAGACCAUCACUCAACGGAAUCACAGAGUAGAAGGGAUUCCAGACCAUCACUCAACGGAAUCAUAGAAUAGAAGAGAUUCCAGACCAUCACUCAACGGAAUCCAAGCAAGCAUAUGGUACCUACCAAAUGUACCAGGUAUAUCUAAACCUCAUCAUCUCCAUAAUUACAACGCAGUGACUUACCACAUUCACUUCUCAUGGCCACCAACUAAUAUGUCACACAAGCAUAUAAGUUCUAUAGAAUACUUCUAAUAGGAAUAUACAAUCACAUUGUCACCACAUUUAUCGGACUUACCCUUCACAUUACUAAAAGAUAAUGAAACGCACAUAUAUCACAAUCAUCACUCGUACACAAGCCAAUUCAUAUUUAAUUAGCAUAGGUCUAUGGCUAAAUAUAUAAAUUUCACAUUUCAAUAGAAAUCAUAUUUAUAAGACCAAUUCAUAUUCAUAAAUGAUACUAAUAUAAGAAAUUAAGAUAAUAAUCAUAUUUCAUAUAUUCAAGUCGCUAUCUAACCAAUGUAGGCUCACUAGACUUCACUUAGUCCCCCGUAGUACUAAUUUUAGUGAUUAGGACGUUUCGAGACAUGGUGAUCAAAAGUCAAUUUCCGGUCAAAGGUAGGGUCCACAAUUCUACACAAUUCAAUCCGGAAGAUCCACAUAUUGGAUUUCGGAUCCGUAACUUUUCAAGGUCCACAUUAUGCUCAUAUAACAACAUACUAAAAUCUCAACACGAUCCGACGGUCGGAUCUCCGCCAAUUUCAAAAUUCAAGUGGCGAGCGACAUUUAAUUUUACAACUUAGAAAUCCAAUUAGCGAAGAUCCGUACGUCGGAUUCUCGAUCCGUAAGUUUCUAUGAUCCAAAAAUAUUAUGUUCUAUCACGCAUUAAGGUUUGGUGACGAUUCAACGGUCGGAUCGUCAAAUCAUAUUUUGACCUAACUACGUAUCGUAAUGAAAUUAGGUUCAAACAAUCAAACCAUAUCAUAAGGAUGUCAAUUAUGAAAUUAGGGCAUCUAAUUGAACUUAAAAGGACAUCGUCGGCCCACUGGCCAGGCCGCCGCCGCGGGUGGCGGUUGGCCUCCCUGACUUGCCGGAAAAUUCAACUAUUUUUAAAACUUACCAAAAAUUACAGAAAUUAAGACCUCAAAGAGUAGAGAAAAAUUUAUACCUGUGGCCAAGUCCAAUUUGGCCGGGAAACACCUCAAUUUUACUCAAACCCGCCGAAAUCCUAGAAAAGGGCGUGCUUUGAUUCGGCUUCCAAUCGAACUCCGACGCCUCCAAAACUGCUUGGGCUUUGUUCCUGGGGUUAAGGGAAGUCUUUUGGUGGUGUUCAUGGAUGUGAAACUUGCCGGAGCCACCGGGAAAAGGGAUAAAGCCGCCGGAACACCCGUGGGUUUGUGGCUUCAAACUGGAAAAAAGGGAAAGAAAUUGGGAAAUCUAACACCACCAGGAUGUAGGGCUCGCCAAGGGCUUUCCAUGGACACCAAGAUCACCCAAAACGGAGUUCGGAUGAGGGAGAUACGGCCGGGUCAAAUUUGAAGGUUCACGGGUCGAAAACGACCCAACUCGGGUCUCUCCUUUCCCUUCUUGCUUCCCCUCCUGAUUGGUCUCCUCCUCCUGCCAUUUUCUCUCCCGCACUCUCUCCUUUCUCCCCUCUCCCUUGCUGCCACAUGGCAGCUUCUAAGCAUUUUUUAUUUAUUUAUUUAUUUCCCAACCACUAAAACGUUUCUAAUUUCUUCGUUAUAACUCCAUUUCUUCGAUCUCUAUUCAAAAAUAUAACUUGUGACCUCGAAUGGUCUACUUAUUUUAAAUAAUUAAUUUUCCAAACUUCAAACUUCGAAACUAAUUUAAUUAAAAUCUAAUUUCAAACAAAUUAAAAUAAAUUCUUGAAAAACAAUCUAAAAUCUCAAUAAUACAAAUACGUAUAUUAUAACAGUGAAAUCCAGGAAUGAGAUUUCACAUUUAUAGCCCAUGUGUUAUUUGUAAUAUUUCAAUUUAACUCUAAAUGACAAAUUUCAAGUUGAAAUUGUUUCUUUUUCCUUGGGUAAAUUACAUUUUCAUACCUCAUGUUUGUGGCCUAUUUCAAUUCCUUACAACAUUUUCAAAACAUUUCACUUUCAUACCUUAAGUACUAUUUUAUUUCAAAAUAAUACAUCCGUUAUAUUUUCCAUCCAUGGAUCCUUUAAGUGAUGACGUGGCUGCCAAAUAUGUGCCACGUGGCAAAAAUAAGUAAUUUUUAAAACCUGAAUUUUCAAAAAAAAAAAAGAAGCCCAUCCCCGACCUACCCCCUUCUCCCAUCCAUCAUCACCCACCCCAAAAUCCCACUCAAGCAACCCCUUUCUCCCAUCCCCCAUCACCCCUCCCAAAAAUCCCCCAUCACCCACCCUAGAAAAUCCCACCCGAGAUUAGGAGGAUCUACCACAAAACCAGUCCAAAAAUUAUCUCAAACUCAAAAUCCCCAAGAUGAAUCUACCACAAAACCACCCGAGAUUAGGUGUGAUUCGGGGUCUCUUUGCAAGGGAGGUGGGUUUGUGGGGUCCCCGGGGGGGGGGGGGGCGGGAGGGGGGAUGAACUGGGUUGCAGUUUUUUUUUUUCUUCUUCUUCCUCUUGUUGUUGUUGUUGCAGGUGAGGAACUUGGGGGGGGGGGACGAACUGGAUUGCAUUUUUUUUUUUCCUUUUGUUGUUGUUGUUGUUGCAGGUGGGGAACUGGCCCGGGGGGGGGGGGUGGGACGAACUGUGUAGUAGUUUUUUUUUUUCUCUUCCUCUUCCUCUUCUUCUUCUUGUUGUUGCAGGUGGGAAACUUUUUGGAGAGAGGGGGAAGGGGGACGACGAACUCGGUGUUGCAGUUUGUUUUUUUUUUCUUUUCUUCUUUUCUUCUUCUUGCAGGUGGGGAAAUGGGUUUGGGUUUUAUUUUUAUUUUUUUUCGGGAGACGAAAUGGGUUGCAGUUUUUUUUUCUCUCUCUUCUUCUUCUUCUUGCAAGUGGGGAACUGGAUUUGGGUUUUUUUUUCCUCCCUCUUCCUCUUCUUCUUCUUCUUCUUCUUCUUCUUCUUCUUCUUCUUCCUAUUGCAGGUUUUUGGGUUCUUCAAGGAUGUGGGUUGCUGGGGGGGGGGGGGAGGAUAAUGGGUUUUUUUUUUUUUUUUUUGUUGAGAAAAUUCAAGUUUUAAAAAAAAUUAAAUUUUUUUUUUGCCACAUGGCACAUAUUUGGCAACCACGUGGCAUAUAUGUGGCAGGCACAUCAGCACUUAAUGGAUCCAUGGAUGGAAAAUGUAACGGAUGUAUUAUUUUGAAAUAAAAUAGUACUUAAGGUUUGAAAGUGAAAUGUUUUAAAGAUGUUGUAAGGAAUUGAAAUAGACCCCAAACCUGAGGUAUGAAAAUGUAAUUUACCCUUUUCCUUUUGUUUGCCUAUUUGUUAUUUGUUCCACGGACAAUCUUGCAUAUAUUUGGUUGACGCUUUCCGACAACAUCUGUUAGCUAUCCCACACCACAUCGGUGGGCUAAAAGAAAAAUAAGGACUUUAAAUAGGCUUACCCUACUCUAACUAACAUUGAGAUUUUUUUGUGAUAAGACCUCUAAUUACCAAGUUGGUGAUUACUAUCGGUGUUAUUAGAAUGGGUCUCUCGGGGCUGUAUCAUCGUUCUUCAAUAUGUGAUUACCUUCACAAAUAUAUUUUUUAUUUUCUUUAUUUAUGUUUUUUUGGCCUUGUUCUCACAUGUCAUUAUUUCUCAAAUAAAAUAUAAUUCAAAUAAAUAUUUGGGAGGUAGAGAAUAAAUGUAAGAGAUUGUUGUAAAAAUAAAUAUUGAGUUGUGGCGUAAAAAAUGAAGAAUAUUGAGUUAUAUAAAACCACUUUUAGUAAUUUCUUGAAUUUUUUAUUAUUAGAAUAAUCUUGGCCAUUGAUUUCAACAUUAUAACCAAUGGAACGCCAGGAUUGUGCCACGUCAGGGUUUUUGAACUUUUAUGGCGGCUGGAUGGGCAUAUGCCUUUCCCCCAAUAGGCCUCUCAUUUUUUCAAAGGUGGAGCAAAGUUUCUUUGGGCAAGAAGGCAGUUUUACCCAAUUACAAGCGCAAUUGGGAACUGCUGGAGAUACUCUAAAUGUUCAAAUUGCCCUCACUCACUCUCUAGAAGGAAGGCCAAAGCAGAUUUCUUUGAAUAAUAUGCUAGAUGUAGUUCGGGAUCUUCAAUUGGAAAACUAAAUUGGUAUCGAAUCGUUAUUAACGAGAUUCAAACCAAAGAUCUCUCACGUAAAUAUCACAAGACUGCAGUAUGUGUUAAAGUCUAGAGUGCUAAUUAUACACUCCAAAAAUCGCCUUAAAUUACCUCAUCAUGAACACCUCAAAUGAGUGGUGGAGGAAAGUGCCAAAAAACGAGUGGUGGACCAUGAGUGCCAAAAUGAUCAUCCCAUUAAAAACUAACAAUCAAGCUGAGAGAGAGAGAGAGAGAGAGAGAUGAGUACUGUAGAAGGGAAGACUGUGUGCGUAACAGGAGCCUCAGGUUACAUAGCAUCAUGGCUGGUGAAGCUCUUAUUGCAAAAGGGUUAUACUGUUAAAGGCACUGUUCGUGACCCAAGUCAGUAUUUCUUAACUUGCUCAUAUAUUGUGGUUCUUGGAAUCCAAAACUUUUAUGCAUAAGACAGGACUUGUAGCAGUGCUUUCGUUUGGAUGUCAAGUUUUGUAUGUUAACAAUUUAUAGUUUUGGGUUAGUAAAAAUAAAUUGGUAUACUAACUUAGCAUUUCUGCUUCUCAUUGCUUAAGAAACUAAUUGUAAUUAGAAAGAAAAUGAGACAAUUGGCAUGUAAUUCAGUAGAUUAAAAGCAUUCAUCCUUGCAUCCAGGACCCGUGUUCAAAUCCGCAUCCUCAUAGUUUAAUGUAAAUUUUCCUCUCUUUUGUAAAAAAAAAAAAAAAAAAAAAAAAAAAAAAAAAAAAAAAAAAAAAACUAGAAAUAAAACGAGCCUUUCCCCCUCCCCCCUCUAAUUAGUUUGAAUUGCGGCAUGAAUAUAUGGCCCUACUCUUAAACUAAUUGAUUUUUAAUUUGGAAAUUUUGUUAAAAUAAUACUACCGGUACCAAAAGACGAACAUGUUAAUCUAUUUUUGGGCAACUUAAUUACCCACUUAAAUCUCCCUAGUGCAGUCGAUGUUUGUCAUAUGUGUGCUUAUUUUGUGUUUAAAUUUAAUCAGUUCACUAAUCAUUAUUUCUGUUUGUAUAUGCAUGCAGAUGAUUCAAAGAAAACAGAACACUUGCGCUCAUUAGACGGAGCCAAAGAAAGGCUUCAUUUGUUCAAAGCAGAUUUAUUAGAAGAAGGGUCUUUCUAUAAGAAAUAACUCUUUGUAUUUCAUUACUUAAUGUGUAAGGAUUACAACUCAAUAUAUAUACAAUUCUCUAAUUAAGCUUAGUACCUAAUUAUACUUAAUUAGGUCUCUAAUACAGAGAUUAGUUGCAAAACUGUUACAUUUGAAAAUGACAGCUGUUAGCUAUGACUACUUAUCCCUUUACACCCCCUCAAGCUAAGCGGAGGAGAACCCAGAGAAAGCUUGGACUGAAGAAAGUGAAACCGGGCCUUGGAAAGGGACUUUGUAUGGAUGUCUGCAAUCUGAUGUUCAGUGGAAACAUACAACACUUUGACUAAACCAGCAAGAACAAGCUCUCUAAUGUAGUGAUAAUCGAUCUCCACAUGUUUGUGCGCGCAUGAAACACAAGAUUGGAAGCCAAAGAGAUUGCAGAAACAUUGUCACACCACAGUGUUGGAGUAUGAGAAAGAGGGAAAGUAAUGUCUUUGAAAAUCUUGCAGAUCCAUGUAAGUUCGGCAGCAGUAAGAGCAAGAGAGCGAUACUCGGCCUCGGUUGAAGAGCGGGCAACAGUGGCCUGCUUUUUAGCACUCCAACUGAUAAGAUUGGGACCAAGGUAAACACAAUAACCAGAUGUAGAACGUCUAUAAAAAACACAACCAGCCCAAUCAGCAUCCGAGAAAGCUGUGAGCUGCAGAGAUCCCUUUUUGAACCAGAGGCCUUGAACAACCGAACCCUUGAGAAACCGGAGAAUGCGUUUAACAGCCUGAAAAUGAGUGUCACGAGGGCAAUGAAGAAACUGACAGACUUGGUUCACAGCAAAUGACAAAUCUGGCCUAGUCCAUGUGAGAUAUUGGAGAGCACCAACUAUAGACCGAUACGCCUUUGGAUCAGGCAACAGAGUUCCAAUGUGAUCUAAUUUGGCAGUACCAAGAGGAGUGGCACAAGGCUUGCAGCCUUCCAUUUUUGUCUUAAUAAGAAGAUCCAUAGCAUAUUUGCCUUGAGACAUGAAGAUACCAUCAGAGGAUCGAUGGACUUCAAGACCAAGGAAAUAGUGGAGAGAACCUAAGUCUUUGACAGGAAACAAGGUACUGAGCUUGUGAAUAAAGAGAGCGAUUGAGCUUACAGACAAAAGAAGGCUGAGCAGCAUCAACAAAACCAGGAGGCUGUUGCAUAAACACUUAUUCUUUCAGUGAACCAUGAAGAAACGCAUUACUAAUAUCCAACUGAUUAAGGAACCAGUCAUUGUGGACAGCAAGUGAUAAUAGAAUGCGAAUGGUUACUGGUUUGGCAACAGGGCUGAAAGUUUCUGUAAAAUCAAUAUCGGCCUGCUGGUGAAAUCCUUUGGCUACAAGGCGAGCCUUGUAACGAUCAAUCGAGCCAUCAGGUUUCCUUUUAAUCCGAAACACCCAUUUGCAGCCAACAAGAUUGUGGUGAGGAGAAGAAGGUACCAAUGUCCAAGUACCAGUGUGGCGAAGAGCCUCAAAUUCUUCUGAUGUGGCCUGAACCCAAUGAGCAUGCUUAGAUGCUUGCAGAUAAGUGGUAGGCACAAAAGUAUCAAUAUUGAUGGGAUGUUUAGUGGCAGAUAGAGCUUUGGGUUUGAAAAUGCCGGCUUUAGACCGUGUGAUCAUAGGAUGAGAAUUAGAGGGAAUAGAGGGUUGAAUGGAAGAGGAUGGAUGGGAUGGCAGAGGUAAGGAAGCACUAGAUGGAGAAGAAGAUGAAGAUGACGGGACCGAAGAAGAAGAUAAUGGCUGAGAUAGUGCAGGGGGAACUAGCGGAGAUGAAGAGAUUGGUGAGGAGGCAGGAGUAUGUUGAAAGGAAGGGAAAGGGAGAGUGAAGAGUGGAUAUGAUGUAGAGGCAGUGGACUGUGGGAGUGAGGAAGAAGAAAGGUGAUGGGCAUCAUGAAACGGAAAAUGCUCUUCAUUAAACAGAACAUGCCUUGAAAUAUAAAUGCGCUCAGACUGGAGAUCUAGGCAACGAUAGCCUUUGUGCUGAAGGCUAUAACUAAGGAAGACACAGUGUUUGCUUUUGUCGUCCAAGUUCGAGGAAACAUAGGGUUUGAGCCAAAGGUAGCAGCUGCAUCCAAAGACCUUUAACUUGGAAUAAUCUGGAGAACGUCGAAAGAGAAGUUCCCAAGGAGAUGUAUCCAACCGAGAAAUAGGCAGUCGGUUAAUGAGAUAAAAAGCAGUUGCAAAAGCUUCAACCCAAAACUUGUGUGGAACCCGAGAAGAAACCAAAAGAGUUCGUGCAGUCUCGGUAAGAUGGCGAUGCUUCCGUUCAACACAUCCAUUUUGUUCCGGAGUGUGAGGACAGCUAUAUUGAUGAGAAAUACCAUUGCGAGAGAGAAAAGAAUUGAACACGGAACUGGUGAACUCACCCCCUGAAUCUGAUCUCAAAAUCUUUAUUUUAUUGCCAAUCAUGUUCUCUACAUAAGCUUUGAAGUGGACAAAUACAGAAAAAACCUCAGACUUAGCUUUCAUGGGAAACAUCCAUGUGUAUUUAGUAAACUCAUCCACAAUCAACAGGUAGAAUCUGUAACCAGUAACAGAAAGGACUGGAGAGGGACCCCAAACAUCACAAUGGAGCAACUUUAAACUAGUUGAAGCAGAACUAGUACUAGAGAAAAAGGGCAGCUUGUGGUUCUUGCCGAUGGCACAAUCAGAGCAAAAGAAAGAUACAGACUUAUCACCAAUGUGAUCAAGACAAUGCUUAUUGAAAACUUUCCUAAACAUAGCAGAGGAAGGAUGACCAAGUCUGUGAUGCCAUGUCUUCAAAGAGGCUUUAGUGCUGAGAAGAGCAGUAUGUGAAGAAGAAACCGAAGAGAGACCGUGAAAUGGAUAGAAGCCUUCUUUAACUGGCCCUCGAAAAAGCAUCCUCCCCGAAGAACGAUCCUUGAUUUCAGAACCAUCAGAAUCAAGGAUCAAAGAACAAUAGUUAUCUUUCUAGAAUUGAUAAGCAGAGAGUAAAUUGAAUUUCAUCAGCGGAACAUGAAGAAUAUUAUUUAAUCGGAAAGAAGCAUGUGGUGUGGAGACUGUAGAGUUACCAGUAUGAUGAAUAGCCAUACCUUGACCAUCACCAACAUACACCUUGUCAUCGCCAGAAUACGGACGGGGAGACUGAAUCGCAUAAUAUCAUUAACAAUAUGAGAGGUGGCACCCGAGUCCAUCAACCAAGUGGGAUGAUGGCUUAGAGUUGGUGUGAACACACAUAGCAGCGAGCUGUGCAGGAGGGAUUUUGCCUGCAAAAGCAUGAUUCAUCCGUGCAUAGCAAUCCAGAGCUUUGUGAUCAAACGAAUUACAUAUUUGGCAGGAAGUGCGACCACCAGAAUUGUGGAAUUGACCACGAUUACCACCAAAAUGAUUGCGAUUUCCAGAGGUGUUUCUGUAAUUGCCAUGAUUCCCACCAGAAUUGUUGAAUUGACCACGAUUGUUGAAGUUCUUAGAAAAAUUACCACGAUGAUUACGCUGAGAGAAACCUCGAUCUCGAUUAUUGUUGUGAAACUUGGAAGGCGCACUGUAAGAUGACUGUUGAGCAGCAAAUGCUUGAGGAAAAUUAUAGAACUGAGAUGGUGUAGGAAGAAGAGGAGGUUGAAACUGCGCAGUAAAUGCCUGAAAAGGCUCAGAAGCGGAGGAGGCCACACAUUUCUUCUUGCGAUGCAUGAAAACUUCCAUUGUUAAGCAACAAUCCAUGAAGUUCAUCCAGUGUUGUGGUAGAAAUCCUGAGCAUGAUAGAGUCAAUGAACGACUCAUACUCAUCAGGUAAGCCAUUGAGAGUGACGGCAAUCAAAUCUGGAUCAGAAACAGAAGCUCCAGCAGCCAUUAAAGAAUCAGCAAGACCUUUGAUGCGCUGCAGAUAAUCGGAGAUAGAGAGAUCUCCUUUAUGAAUAGAGUGAAGGCGAGAACGAAGCUGAUGAAUGUGAGCGGCAGACACGCCACCAAAUCGAUGCUCAAGGUUUAACCAGAGAUCGCGAGACGAGGUGACACCAACCGUAAACGGAACAAUAUCCUUAGAAAGAGUGGAGUUCAACCAGAUCAGGAUAUUCUGAUCUUUUUCAUACCACAGCUCGAAGUCAGGAUUUGGAACUCCAAUGCUGCAACCAAAUGCAUCAAGAACAAACGGCGGUGGGCAAAUUUUCGAGCCAUCAACAAUGCCGGUGAGUUUGUAUCGUCGGAAAAUUGGAGCGAAUAGAGCUUUCCAGACGAGAUAAUUGUCACGUUUGAGCUUCGUAGGAACCAUACAGCUGAUAUUCUGAACAGUUAUAGAAGAAAUUGAAGAAGAGGAAGAAUUAGGGUUCAUCGUAGCAAAAUUGGGGGAAGAAGGUGCAGGAGGAGGAGUAGCAACAACUUCAGGUUGCACAGGAGAAGAAGUCGAAGACGCCAUGGCCAAAGAUCAAAGAUCUGAGAAGCAACGAUCGAAGAACAAAUCGAUCGAAAAAAAAAUCGCAAGAAAAAGAGGGAUCGAGAGGCGGUUAGGCAGAGAGGCUCUGAUACCAUAUAAGAAAUAACUCUUUGUAUUUCAUUACUUAAUGUGUAAGGAUUACAACUCAAUAUAUAUACAAUUCUCUAAUUAAGCUUAGUACCUAAUUAUACUUAAUUAGGUCUCUAAUACAGAGAUUAGUUGCAAAACUGUUACAUCUGAAAAUGACAGCUGUUAGCUAUGACUACUUAUCCCUUUACUUUCGACGCCGUAGUUGAUGGAUGCCAAGGUGUUUUUCAUACAGCGUCCCCUGUACUGCUUUCAGUUACUGACCCUCAGGUUCGUCGCCCUUUUACUUCAUGAUCGCAUAGUCCAGAAAAAAGAAAUCUGAAAAGUCUAAAGCAUUGUAUUUAAUUACUUUCGGAAAAUUGGCUUUCCAGAAUUUUGAUGUUAAAACUGGAACUAUUUUAGGGAGAACUACUUGACCCUGCAGUGAAGGGAACACUUAAUGUUCUACAAUCAUGCGCGAAAUUUCCCAGCAUCAAGAGAGUGGUUUUAACAUCUUCAAUUGCUUCAGUAAUGAUGACUGGAGUCCCUCUGACCUCUGAUGUAGUUUUGGAUGAAACAUGGUAUUCGGAUCCACUUUUUUGUGAGAAGCACAAG